AGCUGGAGGGGCGCGCGCACGCGCAGUGCGGCGCGUGGAGUUCUGACCUCUGCAGAGGGGCUGGAAUAGGACAGGCUACUGGUGUGUGGAUGACUGCCUUGUUAAACUGCGAGAGGAGCUCGAGCACAGAGGCCAGCAAAUCAGAGUGGAACGAAACCUGAGCAAAUCGAAGUCGUGCUCCACAGGCAAAGAGAGAUCACCUUAUAUGGGAACAUCCAUGGACAAGAAGAUGAAUGCAUCUGCCCUUGCUGCUGAGGUCAGAUCCCAAACAGAUAGAAGAUGUUAAUGUGAAAAUGAGAGUGUUUAGGAAGCAAAGACAACACUUACUUCAGCUUAUUUCAUGCAAUCCAGGUCCUCUUGGUUUUUUGUUGUGGUUUUUUUUUUCUUAUUUUAUAAUAAAUAUUGUGAUAUUUGUAUGUAAA